GGUGUGGACUGAUGGCUUAUAAAUGGAAAUGGUCCCUUUCUGCCCAUGAUGGUUUUUCUCAGUCUAUUUCUCAUCCUCUAAAGUUACAAUGAGAAUACUAAAGAAUGGGUCAAGAUCGAUAAAUCAUUCUCCUCAAGAAGUGUCUAGAUUAUGCAAUAACCUAUUGGAUUCAACAUGGUUAUGCUAAAAUGAAUCCAUGGGGUAAAAGGCCUUCGAUCAACUAUUGAAUCACUUUAAUGCAUGUACUGACGAAUUCAGAUCUGAGAUUGAAUGAUGAACAUACAAAAAUGGCUGGUGUAGCUAGAAAUAUCAUGACAGUGUAGGAGAGGAUGCUCUCUGUUUAUUGGCCAAAGAAAGUCAUGGACACUUUUGUAACCACGUUGGUAAAGGAGAGAUUAAGCCCUAGUAUUUUGUCUAUAGACAUUGAAAGAGUUCUUUUAGAAUC